AUGGUGGUUGGCACCGGCAUCCGCGCCAGCUGUGGGGAGCAAGGGGUGAUGACGAACUCCAUGGCCGAGAGGGGCCACCUGAGUGGUGUGAGUGAUGAGGACAUGACUAUCUUGGAUACGACCAAAAAUAUUGCAUACAUGCAUAUUUGUCAGGUGAUUUCUAAUGCAAACUAUUCAAUAAUCUAUUUAUGUUAUCCAGAACAAAAAUACUUCACACACUUUUGUGUUUUGUCUAAUUGUAGGUGUAUGGGACAUUUGUACAAUCCACAUAUGAAGAUAAGGGAAAAUGAGAAGUUUAUGUUGUGUUCAAAAAGUCAUCUCACGUCACUUUUGGGCCAAGAGAAGAUAGAGUCCAAGUCUUUCUCGUUCUGGAUUCAGAUUCGGACUGCACAGACAUACCUGACUCAAAACGCCAACAACUUUUUCAUAUGGACUCCGAAUUGGGUGAUUCUUUUUUUGUUGGAAACUAGAUUUCGUGAUCUUUCCAACCCAAUUGGAUUCACCUUCAAAUUCGUCCGGAGAGUUGAGUUACGGACGAAACAAUCUGACGUUGUAGUAGAAUCCGAGUCAAACUACAAGCCCAAAGGUGUUGUAUCACCUCCACUUGGGCCCAUGAGCCCUGUACGACCUAGGGUUAGUUUUAGGCUGCCUUGGGACGUCCUCCCACCUCCUUGGCCGCCACUCCUUGCUCCUAUAUAA
rnacentral:rRNA from 1 species